rnacentral:lncRNA from 1 species
CUUUUCUGAUGAUGACCAUAGCAUGCUGAAGGCUGCCACACAACCCCUGGGGAUCAGAAAGAGCCCAAGAUUGCCUGACUCACUCUCAAGAGAAGAAUCAGACUCAAGUCCUUCUACAGGUAGUCACCAAUGCGUGCAGCAUCGAUCUCAAGGGCAAAGGAAUUCCAACAGUCUUUCCAGGGCUGAGUAUUGAGUUGGACUUUCCCUUCACUGUUUUCUUACACUAAGGCCACUGAGACCGCAAAGAAGUGCUGAUUACAUACAGCAGGAAAGUAGGAAGAGAAGGAGAGAGAGUAUUAAAUGAAAAGACAAGAGCAGAAAGCAAAGGGAAAAACAAAAUUGGAUGAAUCGGGCCAGAUGCUUGAGGAGGGGAUCGUACUCUGUCUGACUCCAAAGCAAUCUCUCCGUCUAUUGUCACCAGGCUCCAAAGCAAGUUUCUAGCGUUAGUAAGACAAAGACUCUGCCCAAUGUCUGUAACAUCCUGACGAGAUCACCACGUGUGUUAGACCGAGGAUUGCAUUUUCUAAAUCCGAACGCAUCCUAUCCUGAGGAUACCUUCUCACGGUAGAGAUGGGAGAAAACAAAGAAGGCGCCAGUUGGAGGCUUUGAACGUAUCAAUAUGCAAACCGCUUAAAAGCCUGUUUCCAUUUACUUUCCACUUCUGGAUCAAUUUUGCAGAGCAGGUAACCUAUAACUCAAAACAAUUUCUCCAUGACCCUGUUUCAUUCGGCAUCAAGAUUCUAAUCAAUAUCCUAUUUCCUUUCACAUUCAUAGGCAUAAGCUCUAAAAAUAACUUUAUCAGAUAUAUAUUUGUGUCAUUUGGGAUUUUGAAUUUAUA